AAAGCCAAGGAGGAAAACUGCCCAUUGGGUUUAUUCAUUUUUAUAUGAAAUCAUAAAAUAGCGACGGAAAGGGGGGAAAAGGGCAGCUUUUUAUUUUUAUACAGCAGACCCUAGAGUCACACUCUGAUUCCAUGUGCAUUAACAUUUUGCCGCACAAGCCCCAGAUCCCUCAGUAAAAUAAAUGCCAAACCCGUUUACCUCGUUACGCAUACCACUGCAAAAAUCAUCACUGUGUUGCUUCCUUGUAUCCACAUGUGAAGGUCCAGGCCUGGAAGCAGAAGGGCUGGAUUUGUUUCCCACAUCCUCACCACCACUUUUGGGGUGCUGGAGGUGAGCUUGGGUGAAGAGUGUCUGAACGUUGGAUGAGAAAAUCUUCACCCACUGGCUCAGAGAUGCCAUAUGUGUUCUUGUCUCCACCUGGACUCUCGGCGGAAAAAUUCUUUCCUGAAAAACUAGAUUCCAGGCCUGUACUUCGAACAUCUUGAGGGAUACAGGUUUAUACCACCGGAAUUCUAAGCUAAUAAUUAACGUUUAUUUAGCUCCAGGCCAGUCCUGGGCGUCUGGCAUAAACAAAAGCAGAACCAUGCAUGGGUGUGCUCCCAAACCAGGUUCCAGAACAUGUGUGUAGGUGGACUUUCUGAAUCUGAGCUCGGAUGGUCCACAUUUACCCAAAGUGGGAGGGUUAGCACUUCCAAGAAAUUCAUGCACUGAAGCAACCUGGACGUAAAUAUGAAAGUUUUAAAUGAAUAAAUAAAAAACAAAGAAACUGAAAUUCUAAGUAGAGAACAAGAUUUAGAAAAGAACCUAAACAAACUUUUAGAAAUGACCAUACAGCUACGUGGAACUUAAACUUAAUGGAACAGUUAAAAGUAAAUUAGAGUCAGCUAAAGAGAGAAUUCGUGAACUGGAAGAUGGAUAUUACAGGCAAAGUAGUAUACUCACAAAAUUCAUAUGUUAAAGCCCCCUCCCAGUACCUCGGAAUGUGACUGUAUUUUGAUAAAAGAUUUUUAAAUAGUUACAUAAGUGAAAGCAAGGUCAUUGGGGUGAGCCCUAAUCCUAUAUGACUGGUGUCCUUACAAGAAGAGGGAUUUGGACAGACACACAGGGAAAACCAUGUGAAGACGUGGGCAGAAGAUGGUCAUCCACAAGCCCCAGUGGGAGGUCUCCAAAGAAACCAACCCUCCCAACACCGCGGUCUUGAACUUCUAGCCUCCAGAAUUGUGAGAAAUAAUUUACUAUUGUCCAAAGCCAUCUGUUCUGUGGUAUUUCAUAUGGCAGCCAUAACAGACUAAAAUCACAGAUUUUUUUUCUCUUUUUUGGCCACAUCCACAGCAUGUGGAAGUUCCUGGGCCAGGGAUUGAAUCCAAGCCUCAAAUGCAACCUAUGCCACAGCUGCAGUAACACCAGAUCUUUAACCCACUGCACCAGGCUGGGGAUCAAACCCACCCUGCCUCAGAGACAACGCUGGAUCCUUAACCUGCUGCACCACGGGAGGAACUCCUAAUAUUACGGAUUUGAUAAAUUAUCCAGAACACAGCAGAGAAAGACGAAGAGAGAAAAAAGAGUAGGGAAAAGUAAGAAGGAUGGAACAAAGGACAAGAAGGUCCAACAUAUCAAGGAUAUAUGUCCCAGAGGGAAGGUCUGACAGCUGGGGGAAGGCAAGUAUAUAAAGGAGAUGCAUACAAAUGUUCCAGAGCUGAUCAGCAUGAGCCCUCAGAUUUGAGAGGCACAGAAGAUCCAGGGAAGAAUGUAUAAACCCAAACCCCACUUGAACUCGUGGCAGUGACUGCGUGUGUCAGGCACAACAAAUUAUCCCGCUCAGCAUUGUUCUAACCUCUUCUAGCUUUUCUUCCUCCAUCCCACCUCUUCACACAUGGGCACCCAGAACCUGCAAAGAGAUGCUUUUGCAGUAGUGUGUGUAACAGCUCACACUGGAUCUGUGGGAGGUUAUUUCUUACUAAAGAGGGAUCCAUGGCCAAUUCACCUUCCUCCAUCCCACACUCCCUUACAGGUGGGGCACAGGCAUAGGAUCUAGAGUCCCCAAGCCUGCACCUUCUGUUUCCUAGAUGGCAAAACCGGUGAUGUGGGUGGUAGCUGCAGGUAGAAGAGAAUCAGGGACUUGUGUCAACCUACUGGAAGAGGUGUCAAGGUUCCUUGGGGGUGGCCAUUAAGGCCACCAGUUCAAGGGUGACCAGGGCUAAUGGCAGGAAGGAUGACAGAGAAUGCCACUGAAACAGCAUUCCUGGCUUGAAGGAAAGGAUUGAGGGGGAAAUGGACAAGGAUGAUGCAGUAUGAGUGGAGGGGCUCAGGUGAUGGACCGCAGGCUGCCUGGAGGAAGUGGUGGUAAUGGGAGCUUGUGGGCCAGAAAUAUAGCCAGAGGACAGCAAGGCGACCUGGGAUUCCUGGGUGGAGUCAGGGUGUUUCUGCAAUGGGUGCUUCUAGAUUGCAGCGAGGUCCAGGGAGGGGGAGCCGAACUAAGAGAAGAAAGAGUUGCUGGCGUUCAGGGGGUCAGGCCACAGGAGGGAGGCCACAUCACUCGGGGCGGCAGGCGAGGUCAGGGUGCAGAGGACGGCGGGCCGUGUGGACCCCAGGGCCCAGGGAGGGCAGAGAUGCGCGUAACUGGAAGGUGUCAGGGUGGAGGGGGGUUUGACUGAACCAGGAGGAAAAGCUGUGCAGACGUAGAGGAGAGAAGGAGCCUUGGGAGCAAGGAGAACUCCUCCUUCUUCUCAGUUCUGAGGGUGUGAGGAAGGGGCUUUGCUCAGAACAAGAGGUGGAAGCUGGAUCACAGGGAAGGCAGCACGUUCUCCAUGGGAAGCGCGAGCCUGGGGCUUCCAGGGAAGUUGACGGUAGGUCGUGCUCUGUGCCGUGACCGAGGACUGGAUGGGGGGGUGGGAGCCUUACGCUGACACAACAGGGUUGGCUGCUCACAGCAGGUGCAGCUCCCAAGGAAGUCCCUGGUGGAAGGGAGCUCGGAUCUCCAUGGAAGGACACCGUUCCACUGCGGGUGCUUGCGCCUCUGUGGAAACAUUCCCUGCUUCUAAGACUAGAGGAAUUUUUAGUAAAAAUAGAUACCAACGCCUUACUGAAAGAUUAAGAUGCAGAGGGAAAUAUUCCUAACAUGAAGAAGAAUAUCAUCAUGGUAAAACAAACCCCAUAUGACACAACAGGAACCCAGAGAAACAGUCCACAAAACCGGAAAUUGAAAGUGGUCGUUUCCCAACUGCAUCACAAUUUAACAGCCAGGGUGUGUCAGCGCAGUGUCAUUAUUGGGAAAGAAGAGGCCCAACUAGAAGGAAGAAAGUUACAAACCAUUGGUACGUGCAGGAAAUUUUAUUUAAAACCUGAAAAGAAUUAUCAGAAAAUUCAGGGCCAAUAAGAAUUUUCUAUGAGAAAGCAGGAUAUGGGGAAAAAAGUCCAGUAAUCAAAGAUGUUCCCCUGGGCUCUGCAAUACAUAGACCACAUGAAAAUACAACAGGAUGGCAUAUUCACAGUGGCAUCAAGAAUCCCAAAAGUCCUAGGAACGACCAAACCCCAAAUAGCCAGGACUGUGUGAAAUUCCACUGAGACAGCAUCACUCUAAAUUGAAUAAAUGGAGAUAAAUAUCAAUAUUUGAAAGUUGUUCUUUCUUUGGAAAUUAAUGUACAUAUUUAACAAUAUCAAAAAAAAUCUUCAGAAGGAAACAUGUUGGAAUCAAAUAAUUCUAAAAUCCAUUUAAAUUAGAAAACCAAGAAUACCUAUGAAACAGAGUGAAACAGCAAAUUUUAAAACAUCUAAUAAAACCACAAGAAUUAAAUCAGCAUGGCAUUGGGCUAUUACCAGAAAGUCCAAUGAGAAAAUACACAACCCAGAGAGUUUCUGGGGUAGAAAACCUUCACAAAAGGCGAAGGUUGCAUCACCUCAGGGCAGGCAGGGGUGUGAAUCGGGGGCGGGGGGGGGGAGGUGUUCAAUUAAUGUGAUAAGUCAAUUGAUGAGCCCUUGGGAGACAGACUUAUUUACUUAUUCCUCAGCAAAUGGAAGUUCCUGGACCAGGGGUAGAAUCUGAGCCGCAGCUGCAACCUAUACCACAGCUGCAGCAACGCUGGCUCCUUAAUCCACUGCCCCAGGCCAGGGACUGAAUCUGCACCUCUGCAGUGACCUGAGCCACUGCAGUCAGAUCCUUAACCCCCUGGGCCACAGCAGGAACUCUGGGAGAAGGAUUAUUUAGAUCCUCACUUCAUACCAUGCAACACAAAUAUCAGAGAAAAACAAACCAUAAACAAAUGUGCACUAGCAUUUAUCUGGAUUUGGAUAUGUGGAUUUCCUACAUGUAAAAAAUUAGUACAAAAAUUAAAAAGGAAACCAUUGAUACAUUGAAAGAUGCUGUGAUGUAUACAUAUCAAUGCAUAUUUUUCUUUUUUUGUUUGUUUGUUUUUUGUUUUUGUCUGUUUGCCUUUUCUAGGGCCGCCUCCCUCGGCAUAUGGAGACAAAAGACAAAAAAAAAAAAAAAUACUGAUGGCAUUUUUCACUGAACUAAAACAAAUAAUUCCAAAACUUGUAUGGAGUCACAAAAGACUCUGAAUAGCCAAAAAGAUCAUCAAAAGGCAUCACACUCCUUGAUUUCAACCUAUACUACAAAGCUACAGUCAUCAAAACAGUGUGGUACUUGCACAAGAACAGAAAUACAGAUCAAUAGAACAGAAUAGAGAGCCCGGAAAUGAACCCACGCUUAAACUGCAAAUCAAUCUAUGGCAGAGGAGGCAAGAACAUACGGUGGGGAACAGACAGCCUCUUCAAUAACUGGUGUUGGGAAACUGGACAGCUACAUGCACAAGAUUCAAACUGGACUCCUUUCUUACACAUACAAAAAUAAACUCAAAGUAGAUUAAAGACAUACAUGUAAGGCCUGAAGCCAUAAAACUUCUAGAAGAAACAUAAGUCACAGACUCUUCAACACUGGCUUUAGCAAUAUUUCGUUGGGUGUGUCUCCUCAGGCAAGGGAAACAAAAGCAAAAAUAAAUAAAUGGGACGACAUCCAACUAAAAAGCUUCUGCACAGUGAUGAAAACCAUCAGCAAAACAAAAAGGCCACCUACUGAGUGGGAGAAAAGAGUUGCAAAAGAUAUAUCUGAUCAGGGGUUAAUAUCCAAAAUACACAAAGAAUUCACACAACUGAACAUAAAAGAAAACGCACAACCCAAUUUAAAAAGUGGGCAGAGGAUUCAAAUAGGCAUUUUUCCAAAGAACACAUGCAGAUGGCCAACGGGCCCAGAAAAAGAUGCUCAGCAUCACUAAUCAUCCGGGAAACGCGCAGCAAAACAAUGAGCUGCCACCUCACAGCCGUCAGAACGGCUGUCAUCAAAAAGACCACAGUAAGUGUGAGCAAGCAUGUGGGGAAAGGGACACUCCUGCACGGCUGGUGGGAUUGAAACGGGUUCCGCUGCUAUGGAAUCAAUACGGAGGUUCCUCGAAAUAUUAAAAAUAGAAAUACCAUAGGCUCCAACAACUCCACUCCUAGUUAUUUAUCUCAAGAUAAUGAAAACACUACUUUGAAAAGAUGUAAGCACUCCUAUGUCAACUGCAGCAUCAUUUACAACAGCCGAGAUAUGGAAGCAACUCGGGUGCCCAACCACAGAGAGAUGGAUAAAGACAUCACACACACACACACACCUGGAACAUUACACAUCCAUAAAAAGGAUGAAAUCUUGCCAUGUGCGACAACCUGGAUGGACCCAGAGGGUAUUAAGCCAAGUGAAAUGUCAGACAGAGAAAGACAAUACUGUAUCAUGUCAUUUACACAUGUGAUCUGAGAAACAAAUGAACGGAUAUAAUAGAAACAGAGUCGGAGAUUCGUAGAACAGGCAGGUGGCUGUCAGAGGGGGCGGGGUGAGGGAGGAGAGCAAUAGAUGAGGAGGAUUAGGAGGUACAAACUUCAGGUUCCCGCUGUGGCUCAGCAGUACUGACCCCAACUAGGAUCUGUGAGGACGCAGGUUCGAUCCCUGGCCCCGCUCAGUGGGUUAAGGAGCCUGCAUGGCUGUGAGCUCAGGUGUAGGUCGCAGAUGCGGCUCAGACCCUGUGUGGCUGCGGCUGCGGCUGUGGCCGGCAGCUGUAGCUCUGAUUCAACCCCUAGCCUGGGGGUUUCCACAGGCCACAGGUGUGCCCCCCCCAAAAAGGUACAAACUUCCAGUUACAAAUCAAAUGAGUCAUGGGUGUGAAAGGCACAGCACGGGGCACAGGGUGCAUAACUACGUGACGUCUUUGUCCGGUGACAGGGUGGAACCAGACGUCCAAGUGGCGAGUGGCGAUCUUCUCAAGAUGCAGAGAAACAUCAAACCACUGCGCUGUAGCCCGAACCCAGGCUGCCGGUCAAGCGGACAAACGUGGAGAAAAGGAGGCCGGGUCUGCGGUCACCAGAGGUGGUGGGAGAGGGAGGAGGAAUUGCGUGAAGUGGGCUCAAAAGGAGAGACGUCCGGCUGUGAGGUACCUGAGUCUUCCAGGCGUGUCGCAACAUGGCAAAGUCACGCUGCUGCACGGGAAGAGGCGAGCAGCUGAGAGGAGAACCCUCAGAGCCCCCCGCGAGACGACGGGCGCCCACAGAACCCGUUUGGGUCCUUUCCUCAUCACCCAAGUCCCCUCCAAUUUCACCGUGCCACGUGUCAAUUUUACCACAAAACUGGAAGUGCCGAAAAAGAAAGGUGCUCUCUCUGUGUGUCAUACAGCAGUUAAAAUCAACAGGACUUAUAAAACAGGAGGGCAAAAUGAAUGGCUCUGUUAAGUGAAAAAGGUUAUGAAUUGAUAACUCAUAAUUGAAGAAAUACAACUGGUUAAUCUGUAUUUGAGAAAAGAAUAGUUCCGCCCCC
rnacentral:lncRNA from 1 species